UACAGAGGGUGCAAGCGUUAAUCGGAGUUACUGGGCGUAAAGGGCGCGUAGGUGGUUGAUUAAGUUAGAUGUGAAAUCCCUGGGCUUAACCUAGGAACUGCAUCUAAUACUGAUUGACUAGAGUAUUGUAGAGGGUAGUGGAAUUUCCGGUGUAGCGGUGAAAUGCGUAGAGAUCGGAAGGAACACCAGUGGCGAAGGCGGCUACCUGGACAAAUACUGACACUGAGGCGCGAAAGCGUGGGGAGCAAACAGG
rnacentral:rRNA from 1 species